rnacentral:rRNA from 1 species
UACAGAGGUCCCGAGCGUUGUUCGGAUUUAUUGGGCGUAAAGGGUGCGUAGGCGGCGGAGUAAGUUGGGUGUGAAAUCCCGGGGCUCAACCUCGGAAUUGCAUUCAAUACUGCUUCGCUCGAGUACUGGAGAGGAGGCUGGAAUUUACGGUGUAGCAGUGAAAUGCGUAGAUAUCGUAAGGAAGGCCGGUGGCGAAAGCGAGCCUCUGUACAGUUACUGACGCUGAUGCACGAAGGCCAGGGGAGCAAACGGG